rnacentral:rRNA from 1 species
UACGAAGGGGGCUAGCGUUGCUCGGAAUCACUGGGCGUAAAGCGCACGUAGGCGGCUUUUUAAGUCAGGGGUGAAAUCCUGGAGCUCAACUCCAGAACUGCCUUUGAUACUGAGAGCUUUGAGUCCGGGAGAGGUGAGUGGAACUGCGAGUGUAGAGGUGAAAUUCGUAGAUAUUCGCAAGAACACCAGUGGCGAAGGCGGCUCACUGGCCCGGUACUGACGCUGAGGUGCGAAAGCGUGGGGAGCAAACAGG